rnacentral:rRNA from 1 species
UACGGAGGUUGCGAGCGUUGUUCGGAAUAACUGGGCGUAAAGGGAGCGCAGGCGGUUUGGCAAGUCUAAAGUGAAAGCCCGGGGCUUAACCUCGGAAGUGCUUUGGAUACUACUGAACUCGAGUUCGUGAGAGGAAAGCGGAAUUCCAGGUGUAGCGGUGAAAUGCGUAGAUAUCUGGAGGAACACCGGUGGCGAAAGCGGCUUUCUGGCGCGAUACUGACGCUGAGGCUCGAAAGCAUGGGGAG